rnacentral:ncRNA from 14 species
CUUUUAGCUCAGCUGGUUAGAGCACCGUGCUAAUAACGCGGGAGUCACUGGUUCAAAUCCGGUAAG